CCUACGGGAGGCAGCAGUGAGGAAUAUUGGUCAAUGGGCGCGAGCCUGAACCAGCCAAGUCGCGUGAGGGAAGACGGUCCUAUGGAUUGUAAACCUCUUUUGUCGGGGAGCAAAAGACGCCACGCGUGGCGUUCCGAGAGUACCCGAAGAAAAAGCAUCGGCUAACUCCGUGCCAGCCGCCGCGGGAAUACGGAGGAGGCGAGCCUUAUCCGGAUUUAUUGGGUUUAAAGGGUGCGCAGGCGGAAGAUCAAGUCAGCGGGAAAAUUGAGAGGCUCAACCUCUACGAGCAGUUGAAACUGGUUUUCUUGAGUGAGUGAGAAGUAUGCGGAAUGCGUGGUGUAGCGGUGAAAUGCAUAGAGAUCACGCAGAACUCCGAUUGCGAAGGCAGCAUACCGGCGCUCAACUGACGCUCAUGCACGAAAGUGUGGGUAUCGAACAGGAUUAGAUACCCUUGUAGUC
rnacentral:rRNA from 1 species